ensembl:lncRNA
CCCAGUCCAUACUGGGAAUUUCACUGUAUGUGACUGAGAGCUGGCAAAGGAAGCUGUAAAGGAAAGCUGGUUUAGAGGGAAGCUGUAAAAAGGUAAUUCAGCUGCCUGACUUGACUUUAGGGUGCUGGAUGCACACACACACACACAGACACUUUCCCAAGAAGCAGCAAGGGCGUUUAUUUAUUUUCUAAUCUCCGCUCCACAUCCACAGAGUUUAUAGAGCUGCAGCAAUCUCCUGGUGUGUCCAGAUAAAUUCCCUGAUUGUUCCUCCUCCAAAGAGAGGACCUGGAGCUGGCAGUUACCUUGGGGUACAAUGUUGGGAUUCACCAGACAGGAUUACAGAGGGGGCUUUUCUUCUGAGUGCGGGAGCUGGAAGUUUGUCUGCAUUUCUCUCCUUGCACCUCAUCUCCAAGGAGGUUUUCACUUUCUAAGAAGGAUGUUACCCACUGAGCUAUUCAUAGCAGUUAAAUGAGAAAAGGGGUUAAUAAAAUACACGCUAGAAAAAAGAAAAUAAGAUUAGAAGGACUGAUGUUUUGGCUGUGAGGCCUUCAGUGGGCUGCAGAGAGACGGGGAAAAAAGGGAACAAGAUUAUUAUUUCUUUUCUCUGGCUCAAAGAACUUCAUGGCCAGAAUGGCACCACUAAUCCAAUUUUCUUUCUAACAAGUAUUUUAUCAACACCUCUUUCUUUUUUCCUCCCCUCUAUUCUCCUUCCUUCAGUCUGUACACUGACAUCUGAUCAGCUGCAUUAAAAUUAAAGUUCCAUCUCCAGGCCGGCUCUGCUCACAGAAGCACUGGUGGGGCUCUCGGGAGCUGGGGACCCCUGGGACUGUGCCCAUCUUCCUCCUGCUCACGUGUGCCUGUGCACACACAGUCCCUGCACUUUUUGGGCACCUGGUUUUCCCUGGCCGACCACAGCAAAGCCUCUUUUGCAGGCGCUCAGCCCCGCUUGGCAGAGGAUCAGAUGCAGCUCCACUGAAAGCAAACCGCCGCCUUUCCGAGGGAGUAAAUAUUUCGCAACGUGUUACUUCAGCCUUAUUUAUUAUGAACAUAUUUCCCCUUUUAUCCGGGGAUUUGCCAACUCUCCGGAGUCACAAAACCUCGCGGAGGGCGGUGUGCCUCUCCUCCCCUGCUCCGGGGGGAUCCAGGGGGGUUCACCCGGCCCUGCUCCCCUCUGGGAGAGGGGGAUGUGUUGUAGGAGCCUGGCAUCGUCCCCUGCUCUUUCCCAGCGACACCUGAGGAGAUUUUCCACUGAUUUGAUGGACAAGACCAGCAGGACCCCACUGAACCAGCAAGUAACCCUCCAGUCUAGGCAGUGGCAGCACGAGCACCUUGGCCACCAGCUGUCACCUCCUCUCUCCAUUUCUUCAUCCCAGAUGUGGUGUUUGAUGGCCCUGCCCGGUGCCACCUCUUCCACCAGCCCCUCUCUGGACCCCCAGUGCCACGUGCCUGCUCCACAGCCAUCCCUGGCUCGGUGUCUGUGCAGGCUUCGUUAGCAUUUCUCAAUCAACGCUCUCUCAUUAGUGGCUGGGGCCACUGAGAGCUUUGAAUGAAGGUGGAGCCAGGCCAGAAAAAGAUCCUCUCCUGAAAAACUAUAAUGAAAGCAAUAAUGGCCGGGUCCUUGAGCAAUGCCUGCCUAUGACAAUCGUUGUCUGGAGGCUACUUAAUUACGAAACUCUGUUCUCAGCCUCGGGCUUCACGGUCUUGUGCCUUUACUCUCUCUUGAGCAAUGUUUUAUUGCUAUUGUCCUCAACCUACUUCAUAUCAAGUUCAGAGUAUCUGAAAGUUAUAUGAAAUAUAUGUUGGUUUUCUAUUCUAUCUGCACGAAUUUCUUGUAUUGUGGGGUUUGUUUGGUUUUUUUUUAUCGGUAUCUGAAAGCCUAAAGCUGGGAUUAUCUAAAGGAUUAUAGGAGAAUUAGGCACCCAAAGCCAAUUGAUUUUUCGCUGUGAAUUAGCCAAGUGCAUUUGGAGGGCUGGAGGUUUUGGUCUGUGCUCAUGGUUUCAGGUCCACCUUGUAGCAUCUCGGUAGAGAGCUCAGCACAACUCGGGUGGCCUCAAGAAGGUGCUGAAGCAGGAGCAGUCAGUAAGAAAAUGCAGGUACGGAGAGGGAGACAUGGCCCUGAGACAUUAAACCGCCUUUGAAAAUCUCCUUCUGACUCCCUGAGGCUCUCUUGAAAACGCCACUCUAAGUUACCAUCAAUUUUGAUAAUUAAGCACUGAUUUAAUUUUAGAGUAACAAUAAUUGUCAACAUUUUCCAACCCAAGCACCUUAAAUUAGACACGCAGCUCCGAAGGUUGGCGCGGGAUCAAAGCGCGGCGGCGCGAGCUUUUUGGGAGAUGCUGAGCACACACUGA